CAAUAGCGUAUAUUAAAGUUGUUGCGGUUAAAAGCUCGUAGUUGGAUUUCUGCCGAGGACGACCGGUCCGCCCUGUGGGUGAGCAUCUGGAUCGGCCUGGGCAUCUUCUUGGGGAACGUAGCUGCACUUGACUGUGUGGUGCGGUAUCCAGGACUUUUACCUUGAAAAAUUAGAGUGUUCAAAGCAGGCGCUUCGCCUGAAUAAUGUUGCAUGGAAUAAUGGAAUAGGACCUCGGUUCUAUUUUGUUGGUUUUCGGAACUUGAGGUAAUGAUUAAGAGGGACAGACGGGGGCAUUCGUAUGAUGGUGUUAGAGGUGAAAUUCUUGGAUCGCCGUCAGACGAACUACUGACG
rnacentral:rRNA from 1 species